ACGGGAGGCAGCAGUGGAGAAUCUUGCACAAUGGGCGAAAGCCUGAUGCAGCAACGCCGCGUGAAGGAAGAAGGCCCUUGGGUCGUAAACUUCUUUUCUAAGGGAAGAUAAUGACGGUACCUUAGGAACAAGUCCCGGCUAACUACGUGCCAGCAGCCGCGGUAAUACGUAGGGGGCGAGCGUUAUCCGGAAUUAUUGGGCGUAAAGAGUACGUAGGUGGUUUCCUAAGCAUGGGGUUUAAGGCAAUGGCUUAACUAUUGUUCGCCCCAUGAACUGGGUUACUUGAGUGCAGGAGAGGAAAGCGGAAUUCCUAGUGUAGCGGUGAAAUGCGUAGAUAUUAGGAGGAACACCAGUGGCGAAGGCGGCUUUCUGGACUGUAACUGACACUGAGGUACGAAAGUGUGGGGAGCAAACAGGAUUAGAUACCCUGGUA
rnacentral:rRNA from 1 species